rnacentral:rRNA from 1 species
GUGGGGAAUAUUGGGCAAUGGGGGAAACCCUGACCCAGCAACGCCGCGUGAAGGAAGAAGGCUUUCGGGUUGUAAACUUCUUUUAUGAGGGACGAAGAAGUGACGGUACCUCAUGAAUAAGCCACGGCUAACUACGUGCCAGCAGCCGCGGUAAUACGUAGGUGGCAAGCGUUGUCCGGAUUUACUGGGUGUAAAGGGCGCGUAGGCGGGAUAGCAAGUCAGGUGUGAAAUCCGGGGGCUUAACCCUCGAACUGCACUUGAAACUGUUAUUCUUGAGUGAUGGAGAGGCAAGCGGAAUUCCUAGUGUAGCGGUGAAAUGCGUAGAUAUUAGGAGGAACACCAGUGGCGAAGGCGGCUUGCUGGACAUUAACUGACGCUGAGGCGCGAAAGCGUGGGGAGCAAACAGGAUUAGAUACCCGAGUAGUCC